rnacentral:rRNA from 1 species
GACGAACGCUGGCGGCGUGCCUAAUACAUGCAAGUCGAACGCAGUGGGGACGGGUGAGUAACACGUGGGUAACCUCCCAUCAGAGGGGAUAACACUUGGAAACAGGUGCUAAACCGAUAUUGAUGGAUGGACCCGCGGUGCAUUAGCUAGUUGGUGAGGUAACGGCUCACCAAGGCCACGAUGCAUAGUUGACCCGAGAGUGUGAUUGGUCAGAAUCGGACUGAUAGAGGGCUUAGACUCUUACGGGAGUCAGCAGUAGUGACGCUGGGGCAACUGACGAAAUUCCGCGCUAGUAAUGCCGCGGAUGUGACGAAGGGCUGCGGAUCGUCAACCGUUGUUGUUAGUGAUGGGGUAUCUAAGCAGAAAGCCACUGUUAACUCCGUGCCAGCAGCCGCGGUAAUAC